GCCUUCCGCCUCUGCCGCCGGCCGCCCGCGCCGUCCUGUUCGGCGCUGCCCGUCGCCCUCGUCGUGCC
rnacentral:tRNA from 1 species